UCUCUAGUUGCGGUGAGCGGGGCUACUCUUCACUGCAGUGCAAGGGCUUCUCAUUGCAGUGGCUUCUCUUGUUGCAGAGCACGGGCUCUAGGCGUGUGCGCUUCAGCUGUUGCAGCAUGUGGGCUCAGUAGUUGUGGCACACGGGCUUAGUUGCUCUGCUGCAUGUGGGAUAUUCCCCAACCAGGUAUCAAACCUGUGUCCCCUGCAUUGACAGGCAGAUUCUUAACCAUUGCACCACCAGGGAAGUCCCCCCUAUUUCCUUUAAUUAGAAUUCUGGUGUUAUAUCUUUGACCAACUAUUUAUUUCCAAACUCUGUCAUUUUGUGUUAGUUGUUCUUCAUACAAAUCAUUGCGUUUCUUUGUUCCAUAGAAUUAUAAUCUCCUUUUAAUAGGGUAAUUUUUACCAUUUGCAUUUCCUAUUCUGUGUUACCCUUUGACUUAUCAGCCAGUUCUUAAAAAUGCACGUAUAUAUUUAUUUGCUUCCUUUUACUUUUCAAUUUUGCCUUUUUGUGUAUGAAGUCUGCUUUUAUCUUUCAAACAUUUUGGAAAGAAACCUUCAUUUUCAAUUAGUGAUUACAACAGUCCACAGACAUUCACAAUGCACUUCUUGCUCUACAUGUACCCAUUCUAAUUUAAAAAAAAAAAUCCUCUCAUCCAUCAGUCCCACCUCCACUUCCAUCCUAUUCUCUCAAGACUCACUCGGCUGUGUUCAUUUCCUAGGCCCCAGGGAAAUCUGUGAAUCAGAGCAGAAUUUUUGUUCAUCUCUGUCCUCCUUUUACUUGGACGCUGCCCUUCAGUCUUGAGUAGCUCCCUUAGUUUCAGUCUUCUCUCCCUAAGAAAUGCAGAAGCCACUUCACACCAGAACAUUUUACCAUCAGGUCCCCUCAGUCCCUGUCACAGAGAAUCAUAACAUAUCUGCAGAAAGAAUCCGUUGAUUCUGUCAACAGAUACCCUGUGCCUCUAAGGUGCCAGCCCUGUGCUAGCGAAUGAAGAGAUACCCCACCCAUAUCCUGAGGGUCAAGGAGGCCAGUGUCUGUGACACAGUGGUCCCGCCUCUAAAGGAGACCCAAAAAGGAGCGCGCUUCCCAGCCCAGCCCGGGCAAUGAGUAACCCCCAUGCCUGUCUUCAAUUUUGAGUCUUCUGGGCUCUGUCCCCAACCAGUUUCUGUCAGAGUGCCUCUGUCAUAGGGCAGUCCAGUUCUGUCACCACAGCUGAGCCGUCCAGCACUCUGAGCUCCUAUCUUGCUGACACCCUCAAUUCCCUACCCCGAGGACUUUUUAAAAAUUGAACUAUAGUUGAUUUACAAUGUUGUGCUAGUUUCUGGUGUACAACAAAGUGAUUCUGUUUAUGUGUAUACAUAUAUAUAUAUAUUUUUAAUAUAUACAUUCUUUCCAUUAUGGUUUAUUACAGGAUAUUGAAUAUAGUUCCAUGUUCCACACAUUGCCUGAUGAUCUUUCUUGCAACUUUGGUUGUAUGAGAUCUGCUGCCAGCAUUCACUCCUAAAACCACCACCAAAUGGAAGAAAUUAACUACGUGAUGAUCACAAGCACGUAGCCCCAACCUUCUGGCACCUAAGGAUUGAUCACCGUCAACCAGUGUGCACGAGCUGAUCAUGUACCCUGGGAAGAACCCCCCUCACCUGGCUUUUAAAAUGCUUUGCUGGGCUUCCCUGGUGGCGCAGUGGUUAACAAUCUGCCCGCCAAUGCAGGGGACACGGGUUCGAGCCCUGGUCUGGGAAGAUCCCACAUGCCGCAGAGCAACUAAGCCCGUGCACCACAACUACUGAGCCUGCGCUCUAGAGCCCACGAGCCACAACUACUGAAGCCCGCCCACCUAGAGCCCGUGCUCCGCGACAAGAGAAGCCGCCGCAAUGAGAAGCCCGUGCACGGCAACGAAGAGUAGCCGCCGCUCGCCACAACUAGAGAAAGCCUGUGCACAGCAUCGAAGACCCAACACAGACAAAAAUAAAUAAAUAAAUAAAUAAAUAAGCAAUCAUUAAAAAAAAAUGCUUUGCUGAAAGCCUUAAGGGAGCUCAGGGUUUUGGGGCACAACCACCUGUCCUCCUUCUAUUGACACCUUUACAAUAAAGCUGUA